rnacentral:rRNA from 1 species
AGCAGCCGCGGUAAUUCCAGCUCCAAUAGCGUAUAUUAAAGUUGUUGCAGUUAAAAAGCUCGUAGUUGAAUUUCGGAAUCAAUUUGUCGGUCGUGCUUCGGUACGUACUGUCAUUAUUGGUUUCUCCCUUCUGAAGAACCGCGAUGUCAUUAAUUUGGUGUCGUGGGGAAUCAGGACUGUUACUUUGAAAAAUUAGAGUGUUUAAAGCAGGCUCGCGCUUGAAUACAUUAGCAUGGAAUAAUGAAAUAGGACGUUUGAUUCUAUUUUGUUGGUUUCUAGGAUUGACGUAAUGAUUAAUAGGGAUAGUUGGGGGCAUUAGUAUUCAAUUGUCAGAGGUGAAAUUCUUGGAUUUAUUGAAGACUAACUACUGCGAAAGCAUUUGCCAAGGAUGUUUUCAUUAAUACAAGAACGAAAGUUAGGGGAUCGAAGACGAUCAGAUACCGUCGUAGU